rfam:Burkholderia humi Vandamme et al. 2013 isolate LMG 22934 genome assembly, contig: contig000003
GCGCAAUCCGCCAAACGGUCAGGCCGUGUCGCGGAAGGUUUCUUAACCCGCUAUUUCUCGAGAAACUCGAAGAAAGGUGAGCG